UCUUGAGUUAAAUUUUGGUAUGAUUUGUUACACCUAUAUAUCUCAUCUGUCAUCUGAAUUGUCUUACACCUCUAUAUCUCAUCUGACAAACCUUGCUUAAUUAUCUUAUCUUAUUUGCACUUGCUGAACACUAGGGUAAUAUACAAAUGUAGUCAGUAUUAUAGAACGAGGGUUCAAGAGUUGAGGCAUGUUCUUCUCUACAUAUAAGCAAAAUUUAUAGUCAAAAGGAAGCAUUUCAAUCCUGGUUACAUUCUGAUCUGAAAAAUCACAAUGUUUCAGUUAGUAGACAAACAUAGUGCUUAUUCAGUAGGCAUGCUGACAAUGAAUUUUAGCAUUUCCAGGCAUGCUGACAGUGCUUGAAGGCAGUGGUGAUUUGCGGCAAUCAUGUGAUCUACCUUUUUUUGCGAGGAUGUGAACUACCCUCGACGUGAACUACUAAGUGUGCAUGUCUGCAAACUCUUUGUUCAAGAAUCUACUUUUCUAUGUUUGCUAAGAUGAAAUCGGUACCAUUUAAUUUGUGCACUGUCUGUGCAAAACUGGAAAUUCAGAUUAUUACAGUUCUCAUAUUUUGCUAUAAUCUUGAGUUAAAUUUUGGUAUGAUUUCUUACACCUAUAUAUCUCAUCUGUCAUCUGAAUUGUCUUACACCUAUAUAUCUCAUCUGACAAACCUUGCUUAAUUAUCUUAUCUUGUUUGCACUUGCUGAACACUAGGGUAAUAUACAAAUGUAGUCAGUAUGAUAGAACGAGGAUUCAAGAGUUGAGGCAUGUUCUUCUCUACAUAUAAGCAA
rnacentral:lncRNA from 1 species